rnacentral:rRNA from 1 species
GACGAACGCUGGCGGCGUGCCUAAUACAUGCAAGUCGAACGCAGUGGGGACGGGUGAGUAACACGUGGGUAACCUCCCUUCAGCGGGGAUCACACUUGGAAACAUUUGCUAAACCGAUACUGAUGGAUGGACCCGCGGUGCAUGAGCUAGUUGGUGAGGUAACAGCUCACCAAGGCCACGAUGCAUAGCCGACCUGAGAGAGGGAUAGGACACACUGGGACUGAGAGACGGCCCAGACUCCUACGGGAGGCAGAAGUAGGGAAUCUUCGGCAAUGGACGAAAGUCUGACCGAGCGACGCCGCGGAAGUGAAGAAGGUUUUCGGAUCGUAAAACUCUGUUGUUAGAGAAGCGGUAUCUAACCAGAAAGCCACGGCUAACUAAGUGCCAGCCGCCGCGGUAAUUC